rnacentral:ncRNA from 1 species
UUGUAGCAUAAAAGGAGAGACGUUUAACGCUUCCCUAGACAAGGAUGGAACACAUAUAUAAAUGGAUUCUACCAAAUGUCCAAAUUGGACAAAUUGAAAAUGAAAAGUAUUA